rnacentral:tRNA from 1 species
GCCCCGGUAGCUCAGCUGGAUAGAGCGUCCCCCUCCUAAGGGGAAGGUCAGGGGUUCGACUCCCUUCCGGGGCACCA